GGCGGACGUAGCCAAGUGGAUUAAGGCAGU
rnacentral:tRNA from 26 species